AAUAGUGGUAGGGCUACUCUCUAUUGGCAUGCAGUUAAUUAUGUAUACUGACUCUUAAUCAUCGCACAUAUAUAUUUCAGCUGACACGCCAAAGGAGAGCUGCCCUGUUACUGUCUC
rnacentral:pre_miRNA from 1 species